GCUUACGGCCAUACCACCUGAAUGUGCCCAUCUCGUCUGAUCUCGGCAGCUAAGCAGGGUCAGGCCUGGUUAGUACUUGGAUGGGUGACCGCCUGGGAAUACCAGGUGCUGUAAGCU
rnacentral:rRNA from 1 species